CUGCUGCAGUCCAGAGCACAGGGUCUACGGGUCCUCACACCACGGUCCGUGUGUGUCUCCCCUCAAGCCCCUGCACCCCCGUCAGUUUCUCAUCAGUCUGCUGCUCUCUUCCUCUCACCAGUAAAUGGAGAUGCACUCACUCUCGAGUCUCAGAGGGAGUGGCAACAGAAUGGAAAGUAGAUUGCAAAGGGCUAGUGAGCUUUAAGGACCCUAUACAGACAGUCACCAAGGAGAGGGGACUCAUAGGGCACUAUGACAAGGAAAAAGCAAAGGAGCAGGGUCUGCACAAGGCCCCUGGAGUCUACACCUAGGCUGAAGACACCAAGAGUGACCAUUUGCACUACAAGACGCA
rnacentral:lncRNA from 1 species